rnacentral:lncRNA from 1 species
GGCCCGAGGACCCAAAUCCGCUUUCCCUUAUACACACAACAUGAGAAGAAUAUGUUUGCAUCGUAUGUUAUGCAAAAGGUGAACCUCACGCUAACCAACGCUGUCGCUACGACUUUGAGAGAAAUUUCGAGGUCUGCUCAUUGCAAGCUCAUCGUGAUCGAGACCAUGUAGUGGCGCCGCUUCACAUCGUUCAAUGGACUCUCCUACUCUCUUCUAGAUACAACCUUUGAAUGAAAAAAGGACAACGUAAAUAGUUCUGAAAUCUCCAUCUCUGAGAUUCAACUUUCACUCUCAAUCCAUGGUGUAUCGUGCAGACAGAUAAAUGGAAUCAAAUUGGAAGCAAGAACUCAUCGAAUCAGAGUUACGAACAGGUAACAAAUCUUCUUCCUCGCUUCCGGGCCCUCCUUCUUCUUCUCCUAACUCUCUUCUUCUUCUUUGUUGUGUCGAUGCUGGUGAUACAUAGUGGAGUGUAUUUGAUGCACCGAAGAAUUUGAUGCGGUGAAUCAUUUUGAGGAAUAAUCGAAGAGUUAUGCAUAAUUUGAAGAAGUGUUGGUUGCUGAACGGAGAUGCCUCGGUUGUAGGAUUUUCUGUUGCUGAAUGGUUGUUGCAGGUGAGACUUAGUUGCAAAAUGCUGAAGAUGCAGAAUUGCAGAGAAUGUUGUGACUUGCAGAAUUGCAGAGAAUGCUCUCAAUCCCCCAUGAGGUGAAGGUUGUGGAAUGUUAUAGAGAGGAUGAAAACCUACAACUGAAUCGGGCAAGUCGGGCACUGUUAGGAAAGGUUUUUACUUUGUAAAAUUUCCAUAGGGUGAGUUAGUUAGUAGUUACAAUCUGUUAAAAAAUUGUUAUCAGUUAGUUGGUUAGAUUAGUGUUAGUAUUGUUAAGUAUUGUUAAAGUUAACUUGAAUUUCUAUUUUGAACUAUGGUUUAUAAAUGGGCCCCUGCUUGUGAGAAUUGGUUUUGGUCAAUUAAAUAUGGUCCUGUUGUUUAACAUUUAUGCUUGUAAUUCCUGUUACUUACUUGUCGGUUAAUCGAUAUGCUGUUGCUAGUUAUGUUUACUUCAAUGGUUAAUCUGCUAUAAAAAUGGUCCUACUCCAAAUGAACUAGCAUGACCGUGCUUCCUUGCUUUCUAUUGUAUUUACACUAGCUUGUUGCCUUGAUUUCUACUACUAACAUAAUCAUAUGCUAGGAUAAAAGUCACCAAAUUGUACAUGGACUGUUAUUAUGAACUAGCAAUCUUGUUAGUUUGUGUUAGAGGUUUGUUAAGUGAAAGAAGUGUGUUUAAAAAGGGCAUAUGGUUGUCAUAAAUUUCUAAUUUGUUGUGUUGAUUUUGUCCUUGUAGGUGAUGCAAAAUGGAAGUAACUUGGCUUUGAAGGAAAAUAAGAGCAUGAAGCAUAAUGCAUGAUCAUGAAGAUGAUAGAUGAAGAAGGACCAAGAUGAGAAAUGGUUAAUGAAAAGCAAGACUUUCUUGAAGUGGAAACCAACUUGGAUGGGAGAUUGAAUGAAAUGAUGAAGCAUGAGGAAUGAAGGUUUAGGAUUAGGUUUUUUUUGUAAUUGAAUUUAAACAUUGUAAUGUAAGCAUGUGUAGGCUAUGGUUUGGAAUUGAAUUGGAAUUGUAUGAAAUGGUUAUGUGUAGGUUUAUGAAGUUGUAUAGAGUGGUCAUGUAUUGGAAAUACUUGUAGUUUUGGAUUUGAAUAGACAUAUGAAUAUGGAUUGUAGUAAAAUGGAUUGAAAGUUUGUAAUAACAUAGAAAUGGUUUAUGGUUUAAAGAUUGGUAUCAAAUGGAUUCACAUAA